CUGAACCCUCUGAGACCACUGGAGCCACCAACCAUGGACUGAACUCACUGAAACUGGUGACCUGGGAAUAUCAGGAAAUACACAGCCACCUUCCUGCCCUGCCCUGGGAAAGACCUGGCCAUGGUCACGUGUAAGGUUUCUGGAAGUGAACACAAAGGAAUAGACAUGAUUUCUUCACCUUGUGUUACGUGAAAAGCCAACAAGCAAGAUGAGGAGGCUGGUUGUAACUCGAGGGUCCACUGUAAUCAGAAAUUGAAGUGGGUGUUAUAUAACAGACAAAGCUAAGCCAGGCACUAACUUUGGUGCCUCCAAGGACUGGGUGAGUAGGGGUCAUGUGAUUCCAUAUGAUGGAUACUUUCAUCCUAAGGAGUUUGACUGUUUGGGAGUCAAAUCGGCCAGAAAUCUACUGGACUACAUGGGAAGCCUGCAGUAGAUAAUCAAACAUCUUUCUGUGGAAAUACACGUUCAAAUCAGAAGAGUGAAAAGGCACAGAUAGGCUCCGUGGAGCUGAAGGUUUGCCAACUUUAUGAGACUUGAGACUCAGCCGUAGCUGUAAGUUGGCGACUCCUCUCAGUUUCUGAGAAGGAUUCUUUGGAUGCAUGCAAAAUCCUCAUCAUGCAAAGCCUCGCUGAUACGUUCUGCUCCUUCCAAGAGAACUGUGAGUUCUUCCUUUUCUUUAAUGUGUGAUGAAGUAUUCCUUCCUGCAGUGUGAAAUGGUUAAUCCUUCAUAGCUACACCAGAAGAGGAUUUUAUAGGUGCAACUGGGCUAUCUGAGACUGUUUUACUCAGAAACAUUCAGUAUCUGUUUCCUAUACAGCAAUAAUACAAGCAGCUGGAGUGCAAAGGUAAAUGGCUCUGAAAUUUUUGUUUUGGAAGGAGCUUUCAGAUUACUAUUGUGGUAUGAAAGGUACAAAAGUGUUUUGGAUGGAGAAAGAAUUGAUGGGGGUAAAGGAAAGUGUUAAAGACAUCACAUGACCGUGAUCCAUGCACAUACACCCAAGUUUAUAGCAGAACAGCUCAUAAUAGCUAAAGCUUGGAAGUGGCCUGUGUGUCCAUCAACAGAUGAAUGGAUAAGGAAAGUGGUAUUUAUACAUGAUGGAGUACUACUCUGCCCUAAAGAAAGAUAAACUUGAGCCAUUUGUAGAAAAAUGGAUGCAGUUUGAGCCCAUAAUGCUCAGUAAAAUACUCAGACAUAGGGUGUUACAUAUUGCAUGUUUUUGCAAUCCCAAAACAUAAAUAAUGUGAAGAGCAAAAUGAAAGAGAGAUAAUAGGAAGUAGGGAGAUAGGAGCUUUCUCAGAGGGGAAGGGAACCAAGCCAUGGGGACAAUGGGAGGGGGAGGAACAGAAAGGAAUGAAAAAAGGAAUUAAGAUAUGUUAUGCACUAUCAUCAACUCCCUACAAUAACUGUAAUCACUAUGUACUGCAAAUGUGAAUAGAAAAAAUUUUAAAAAUUAAAUUAAAAAGAAAAGAAGUGACUGUCCCAAUGAAAAAGCUAGAAAGAAGUCAGAUAUGUUUUCCAAAAGGCUGAGGUGGGAGGCAUUUCAAAAGUAAGAGGCAGUUGUAGGGCUUUGCAGUUGCACCAGAAAAGAGGAAACUCUCUGAGGACAACUCCAGCAACAACAUUAAUAAUAAUAAUAAAAUAAUGACAAUGAUGCAGGAGAAAGGGGUUGGGUGUUCGAAGAAUCCUGCACAGUUUCGGAUGGAGGGAACAUACCCAGAGGAGCUUUAAAGAGACAGGAAGCUAAAAGAGACCAAGCCUAGGAGCCCAAGACCAUGCUGGCCUUCAUAGGACAAGAGAAAGAUCCAAGAGAGAGUUGAUAUCAUUUGUAGUUUGUUUUUAUUUUGCUGUUACUCUGUGGGAAUUUGGAAAUUAAUUAUUACAGGGUAAUGAGUGGAUAAUAGGCCUGUAUUUAAGAUGGGGUCAGGUUAUUUCAGGGGCAAUUAUGGUUGUUCCUAAUCUCUGCAUCUGAUUAAUUAUAUUUAAUGAUGAUGGUGAUUAUUGAGGUUGAGAAAGGGUGACUUGUACACGUUCUGUUUAAUUACUGAUGGGUCAUCUUUUUAAAUAAAACAAAGCACCACCUAGUAAAAUACUUAAAUAAAGGAAGCGACAUACUGGAGUCUAUUUCUCAUAUACUGGUUGCCAAUGUGGCUAGUUCCUCAGUGCAUUAAUUCAUGACAUUUAGCUUAGCAUGUGUGCAAAUAAAAACCAUGUCACAUUCAUCACUGACUAGCACAUUUCCCCAAGACUUAAAUGGCAAGCAUUUGAAUGUCGGUAAGUUCUUGGAAAAUAUGAAACGACCACCUUGGAAAAAUUUAUUCAUUUUGUAGU